ACAGGUCUUCGGACGCUGACGAGUGGCGAACGGGUGAGUAAUACAUCGGAACGUGCCCAGUCGUGGGGGAUAACUACUCGAAAGAGUAGCUAAUACCGCAUACGAUCUGAGGAUGAAAGCGGGGGACCUUCGGGCCUCGCGCGAUUGGAGCGGCCGAUGGCAGAUUAGGUAGUUGGUGGGAUAAAAGCUUACCAAGCCGACGAUCUGUAGCUGGUCUGAGAGGACGACCAGCCACACUGGGACUGAGACACGGCCCAGACUCCUACGGGAGGCAGCAGUGGGGAAUUUUGGACAAUGGGCGAAAGCCUGAUCCAGCAAUGCCGCGUGCAGGAUGAAGGCCUUCGGGUUGUAAACUGCUUUUGUACGGAACGAAAAAGCUUCUCCUAAUACGAGAGGCCCAUGACGGUACCGUAAGAAUAAGCACCGGCUAACUACGUGCCAGCAGCCGCGGUAAUACGUAGGGUGCGAGCGUUAAUCGGAAUUACUGGGCGUAAGCGUGCGCAGGCGGUUAUGUAAGACAGAUGUG
rnacentral:rRNA from 1 species